UUGCUUUGGCAGCACAUAUACUAAAAUUGGAACUAUACAGAGAAGAUUAUCAUGGCCCUUUUUUUACUUAACUAGUAAAAAAAAUAAUUUCA
rnacentral:snRNA from 1 species